UUCUCAAAAUCUUUUCUGGAUUUUCUUGUACAUUUUCGUGCAAUUAAUUUUGCAUAUAUGUAUUCAUCAUCGUUUAAACAAUGUUAUCCUUUCCUGGGCCCUUGUCUUGCUUUCGAGAACAAUGAAUUCUUGAUUAAGCUAAAGCGCAUUUUCCAUUCGGGGAAUGCUGCAUGCCUUUUGAUAUAAAGGCUAUAACAAUGAGUUGUUUUUCAUGCUUCUCAUCUCGAAGGAGAUCAUCAAAGAGGCACACAGAA